rnacentral:rRNA from 1 species
GUAUAAGAGACAGCAGCAGCCGCGGUAAUACAGAGGGUGCGAGCGUUGUCCGGAAUCACUGGGCGUAAAGGGCGCGUAGGUGGCCUGAUAAGUAGGGGGUGAAAUCUCGAGGCUCAACUUCGAGGCUGCCUCCUAAACUGUCAGGCUUGAGCAGAGUAGAGGCAGGUGGAAUUCCCGGUGUAGCGGUGGAAUGCGUAGAGAUCGGGAAGAACAUCGGUGGCGAAGGCGGCCUGCUGGGCUCUUGCUGACACUGAGGCGCGACAGCGUGGGGAGCAAACA